rnacentral:rRNA from 1 species
GACGAACGCUGGCGGCGUGCUUAACACAUGCAAGUCGAACGGAAAGGCCCUGCUUUUGUGGGGUGCUCGAGUGGCGAACGGGUGAGUAACACGUGAGUAACCUGCCCUUGACUUUGGGAUAACUUCAGGAAACUGGGGCUAAUACCGGAUAGGAGCUCCUGCUGCAUGGUGGGGGUUGGAAAGUUUCGGCGGUUGGGGAUGGACUCGCGGCUUAUCAGCUUGUUGGUGGGGUAGUGGCUUACCAAGGCUUUGACGGGUAGCCGGCCUGAGAGGGUGACCGGCGACAUUGGGACUGAGAUACGGCCCAGACUGCUACGGGAGGCAGCAGUGGAGAAUAUUGCACAAUGGGCGGAAGCCUGAUGCAGCGACGCCGCGUGCGUGAUGACGGCCUUCGGGUUGUAAACCGCUUUCGCCUGUGACGAAGCGUGAGUGACGGUAAUGGGUAAAGAAGCACCGGCUAACUACGUG